GCUGGGACCACCAUGCCCACCAUGCCUACUUCCUGGACGGGUCUUUGCCCAAAGAAACAGGGACUCUGGAAGCUCACUCGGAAGCCAAUGAGGUGAAUGUCCCUUAAGUCUUCAGAUGCUUUCCAUGUGUUGUGGCGGAGGUCUUGAGGGAGCAUCUGUGGAUCUCAACUGGAAGAGGGCGUUUGGUCCUUGUGGGCUUCCUGAGAAUGACUCCUUAGUGCCUUCCUGUGAAUGGCACAGCACACACCAUAGUGUAGCUGCACAUACAGUUUGGGAAACCUCCCAGCCUCAGAAAUGCUUGCUUCAGAAAUGCCCCUCACAGCUGCAGCAAAGCGAAAAGCCCUGUCCUUGGGCACACACUGGCUGCAGCUGGUGCAGCAAAUGGGCUUCUGGUGCCAGGGCCUUCUGUGGCUAGCCCUUGGCACCUUCCUUUUUGGUCAUGAAAGUGAAGACACAAAAGAGCUGCAGCUCUGGCUUUCGAGGCCUGGGUCCCGGCAUUUGCAUCUCCGGAGAAGCUGUAGCUCUGCUCUGCUGAGCCAUGAAGCCCCUGGGCUCCCCCACAAGGGGCUGCUCUCCCCUUCCCCAUGUGACUCUCCUCCCCAUCCCGAUGAAGCUGUGUAUCAAUCCUAAGGGCCGUGCUUCUCCCUCAAACACUUGGACGGCAACCUGACGGGGCGUCUGACUCACAAGGAUUUCCGCUCCUGCCCAAGAGGCCUCAGCUACUACCUGCCCAUGCUGGAGGAGGGUGAGCCCGAGCCCAGGUUUGAGAAGUUCCUGGAUGCUGUGGACCCAGGAAGGUUCCAUUGGAAGCUGUGGAUGGGCACCAGAAGAUGAGGUUAGAGGGUCUGAGCUUCAGAGAUGUUUGUCCUUGCAGCUAGAAAGUAUAAGAAGUUUAUGAGAUCAGAAUACAUUAUCUCCAUUGACGUUACGGAUUUACAUUGUGGAGGGAGGGUAGCAACCCGAGGCUCAAUCUGUCACAUGUCAGUGAUCUCUUCUAUGAGGCCUUAAUGUCUCCAGGACUGAUGAGAGUUGGUGCCUUCCUUCAAGCUUGCAUGACGUCCCUGAGGAGCAGCUCAUCAGAGGUUCUGCUCUCCUCAGGGUAGCCUCUCGCCACCAAUCGAGAACUGCAGGAGUCUCCGGAAGGGUCAGGCCGAGACCUGCUAGAACUCAGCGCUGCCAGGGACGGUCCUGCCACUGCUCGACGUGGGGCCGCCGGCUCCGGACACCCCAACCAGAAGUCCAGCUUCCAGCUGGGGCCCGUCUGCUUCAGUAGCUGAGAGUCUCUGGGGUCUCGCGAGGGGGACAGUCGGGACCCCCCACGGGGGCACUAGUGGUGCUGAGGCCUCAGCCACCCUAUUUAUCCUCCCCUGCAACUGCCUCAUGGUCAGACAAGAGGAAUCUCCUUCCUUCUUCAGCCCCUGGGGUACCCCAAACUGCUCCCCUCCUCUCUUGGGGGGUGCAGUGGAAGUUCAGUUGGAAGUUUAGCACCCCUGCACCCCAUACAAAGGACUUCCAGCUCAGAGCUGAUGCAGCCCCCCAAAUAUCCUCCCGCCCUGUCCCCCCCAAAACUCUGGUGCUUCCGGACCUCCUUGUUGGCCACUGGAUUCCCUCCUGUUCAACGGAGACUGCUGGUUGUCUUCUCCUGACAUUUGGGGGAGCAGGGCGGGGUGGAGUCCCCAAGUGUGGGAACUAAAGUUGGACUCCAAAAGGAACUGGGACCCCCUGGCGGAGCUCUGUGGCCCACCCUCAACCCAACUCCUGAUGCUCACCACCCCUGCCUCCAACCCCCUCCCUCGAAUCACCGGGCUAGAUCAGAAGGUGGGGACAGGGUGGGGUGGAGUGGGGGUUGGGGUGACCCCGGAUCCCAAUGGUGCUGCCUUCAUUCUCCAGGCGUCCAUGUGCCAAGAGGAGGCCACCUCUGGUGGAUUUGACUCGCUUACACCCGCCAAGGGCUGGAGGGGAUGAGAGAGUCCAGCAUCUUCCAGCCCUGCCUGCGACCUGCUGGGCCUCGGGUCAGAGAAUAAACUGGUGACCUGUGUCCAGGUGUCCGUGCUACCUGGAGCUCGCCCCACUCACCCUCUGUGCGGAGGGACACCCAGUGCACAGUGCUCCAGAGCCAGCUGCCCGAGAGCAAACAGGGUGACACAGGAGAGGCUGUGCCUCCCCGAAGUACGAUGUCUCCAACCAACUCAGUUCUAAAGGUCUCCAGACCCCACGUCCCCACACCACAGCACCCCACAUUGCUGAGGGUGCCAUCUUCCAUCCUGGGAGAGUUUUGGGGUCCCUAUACACACAAGAAGUCCCAUGUCUUCUGUUCUGCGUGGAGGAGAGUGGCAGAGGCCAGAUUCAACUAUAGCAUCUCCAGAUGUCUGGGGUGAAGGUAACAGCCAUCAGAGGAACUGGGGUUGGGUUAAGAAGAAUUUUUAUUAACACAGGAAUAAUGAGCCUAAGACCUGGUAAUCUCCCCCAUGGAUAUUAUAAAUACAUUACUUCUGCCGAGGAAUUCCUUUUUUGC